GAGAGAGGAUCUCCCCUCUCUCUAGAAAUCUGGCCAACGCAGGUGACUGUUCCUCCUUCGGUAAUCGUCCCGUCCAUCGCCCGUCGUCGCCGAUAGCUGUUUGCCACCAAAAUUUCAGGACUUGUUUGUCUCGUCGCGGAGGUCACGGACAGGGACUCUAUUUCGCGAAAAUCGGCUUUCAUCGCCGUGAAAGAGGGUCGAGACUCUUCGGAUACUCGACGCUUCUACCACCGCCGUCCGCCGAUUGGAUCAAGCUGGCUCCGAGAUAUGUUGCGCUCCUCCUUUGUACUCUUCUCCUCACCAUCCGAGUUGGGCAAAGGAGGCCCCAAUUGCCUGUGAGAGGCCCGACUAAGAGGAGUUUCAGACAUGGCAGGGGAUGGAUUGGUGGCGUGCUAGAGUGACUCUGCUGGUAACUGGGGCAGUGAAGGGGUGGUUCGGUUUGAGCACCGGGUCAGGUCUUGUAAACGGGCUCGAGGGUUUGAGCUUGAGGCCCGUUGGUUUUUUGGGUCUGAUUUGUAAGAUAAAAAUGUUGCUCACAGUGAUCAUUGUCAAAUCCUAUCACCGACUAGAUCUACCCA